GUUGUAUGGUUAAGUGAGUAAGCGUACACGGUGGAUGCCUUGGCAGUCAGAGGCGAUGAAGGACGUAUUAACUUGCGAUAAGCCCAGAUUAGGUAGUAAAAACCACUUGAGUCUGGGAUUUCCGAAUGGGGAAACCCACUAGCAUAAGCUAGUA
rnacentral:rRNA from 1 species